rnacentral:SRP_RNA from 1 species
GCGCAGGAUCUCACGCGGUGCUUAUCUUGUGAACUCCCCCAGGGCGGGAACGCAGCAAGGGUCAGCGAGCUCUGGCAGGUGCGUGAGGUCCCUUUAUUUUGCGCGUAC